rnacentral:tRNA from 1 species
GGGGCUAUAGCUCAGUGGUAGAGCAUUUGACUGCAAAUUAUCACAAAUAUGGUGGAUUAAAAAAACAGGAAUGUAUUCCUUCAUAGUCCUA